rfam:Picea glauca, whole genome shotgun sequence.
AUGUAUAUUCCUACAACACAAAAUUAAUGCACUGGAUCCCAUUAGAACUUUGCAGUCAAUCAUGCCUGAGCUAGAGUAGUACUAGGAUGGGUGACCACCCAAGAAAUCAUAGUAUUUUACAUG